rnacentral:rRNA from 1 species
CUAACACAUGCAAGUCGAGCGGUAGAGAGAAGCUUGCUUCUCUUGAGAGCGGCGGACGGGUGAGUAAUGCCUAGGAAUCUGCCUGGUAGUGGGGGAUAACGUUCGGAAACGGACGCUAAUACCGCAUACGUCCUACGGGAGAAAGCAGGGGACCUUCGGGCCUUGCGCUAUCAGAUGAGCCUAGGUCGGAUUAGCUAGUUGGUGGGGUAAUGGCUCACCAAGGCGACGAUCCGUAACUGGUCUGAGAGGAUGAUCAGUCACACUGGAACUGAGACACGGUCCAGACUCCUACGGGAGGCAGCAGUGGGGAAUAUUGGACAAUGGGCGAAAGCCUGAUCCAGCCAUGCCGCGUGUGUGAAGAAGGUCUUCGGAUUGUAAAGCACUUUAAGUUGGGAGGAAGGGUUGUAGAUUAAUACUCUGCAAUUUUGACGUUACCGACAGAAUAAGCACCGGCUAACUCUGUGCCAGCAGCCGCGGUAAUACAG